rnacentral:piRNA from 2 species
UUACUCUGUAACUAAGGCUGGCC